rnacentral:rRNA from 1 species
ACGGAAGGCAGCAGUGGGGAAUAUUGCACAAUGGGGGAAACCCUGAUGCAGCGACGCCGCGUGAGUGAAGAAGUAUUUCGGUAUGUAAAGCUCUAUCAGCAGGAAAGAAAAUGACGGUACCUGGCUAAGAAGCCCCGGCUAACUACGUGCCAGCAGCCGCGGUAAUACGUAGGGGGCAAGCGUUAUCCGGAUUUACUGGGUGUAAAGGGAGCGUAGACGGUAAAGCAAGUCUGAAGUGAAAGCCCGGGGCUCAACCCCGGAACUGCUUUGGAAACUGUUUUACUGGAGUGCAGGAGAGGUAAGUGGAAUUCCUAGUGUAGCGGUGAAAUGCGUAGAUAUUAGGAGGAACACCAGUGGCGAAGGCGGCUUACUGGACUGUAACUGACGUUGAGGCUCGAAGGCGUGGGGAGCAAACAGGAUUAGAUACCCUGGUA